CUAAAUGACUCUCGGCAACGGAUAUCUCGGCUCUUGCAUCGAUGAAGAACGUAGCAAAAUGCGAUACUUGGUGUGAAUUGCAGAAUCCCGUGAACCAUCGAGUCUUUGAACGCAAGUUGCGCCUGAAACCAUUAGGUUGAGGGCACGUCUGCCUGGGUGUCACAC
rnacentral:rRNA from 1 species